AACGAACGCUGGCGGCGUGCCUAAUACAUGCAAGUCGAACGAGAAAGUGGCUUCGGCCAUGAGUACAGUGGCAAACGGGUGAGUAAUACAUAGGUAAUUUACCUCUAAGUUGGGGAUAACCUUCCGAAAGGAGGGCUAAUACCGAAUAAGACUACGGCUUCUUCGGGAGCUGAAGUCAAAGGUGGCCUCUACUUGUAAGCUAUCGCUUAGAGAUGAGCCUAUGCACCAUUAGCUAGUUGGUGAGGUAACGGCUCACCAAAGCUGUGAUGGUUAGCUGAUCUGAGAGGUUGAUCAGCCACACUGGAACUGAGACACGGUCCAGACUCCUACGGGAGGCAGCAGUAGGGAAUAUUGCGCAAUGGAGGAAACUCUGACGCAGCGACGCCGCGUGGGUGAUGAAGG
rnacentral:rRNA from 1 species